GAUGAACGCUAGCUACAGGCUUAACACAUGCAAGUCGAGGGGCAGCAUUUUAGUUUGCUUGCAAACUAAAGAUGGCGACCGGCGCACGGGUGAGUAACACGUAUCCAACCUGCCGAUAACUCGGGGAUAGCCUUUCGAAAGAAAGAUUAAUAUCCGAUAGUAUAUUUUCUCCGCAUGGCGAGAAUAUUAAAGAAUUUCGGUUAUCGAUGGGGAUGCGUUCCAUUAGUUUGUUGGCGGGGUAACGGCCCACCAAGACUACGAUGGAUAGGGGUUCUGAGAGGAAGGUCCCCCACAUUGGAACUGAGACACGGUCCAAACUCCUACGGGAGGCAGCAGUGAGGAAUAUUGGUCAAUGGACGAGAGUCUGAACCAGCCAAGUAGCGUGGAGGAUGACUGCCCUAUGGGUUGUAAACUUCUUUUAUAUGGGAAUAAAGUAUUCCACGUGUGGGAUUUUGUAUGUACCAUAUGAAUAAGGAUCGGCUAACUCCGUGCCAGCAGCCGCGGUAAUACGGAGGAUCCGAGCGUUAUCCGGAUUUAUUGGGUUUAAAGGGAGCGUAGGUGGAUUGUUAAGUCAGUUGUGAAAGUUUGCGGCUCAACCGUAAAAUUGCAGUUGAAACUGGCAGUCUUGAGUACAGUAGAGGUGGGCGGAAUUCGUGGUGUAGCGGUGAAAUGCUUAGAUAUCACGAAGAACUCCGAUUGCGAAGGCAGCUCACUAGACUGCAACUGACACUGAUGCUCGAAAGUGUGGGUAUCAAACAGG
rnacentral:rRNA from 1 species